GAAAUCCACCAAAUCGCACAACUCAAAUUAGACAUAAGGAAAACAUGAAGAAACAAAAGGAAAACCUCUCUUCAUGUUUUGCUUUUGUCUCCAUGUUUUCCUUUUGAUCUAAUCUUCAUGU
rnacentral:ribozyme from 1 species